GGCUACGUAGCUCAGUGGUAGAGCGGGGUCUUCAUAAGGCCAUGGUCACAGGUCCGAAUCCUGUCGUAGCCA
rnacentral:tRNA from 1 species